rnacentral:rRNA from 1 species
AUAGCGUAUAUUAAAGUUGUUGCAGUUAAAAAGCUCGUAGUUGAAUUUUGGACUCGGCUGUUGUGGUCGGCCGCAUAGGUCUGUACUCUUCUGGCCGGGUCUUUCCUUCUGGAAAACCGUCAUGCCAUUUAUUUGGUGUGGCGGAGAUCCAGGACUUUUACCUUGAAAAAAUUAGAGUGUUUAAAGCAGGCAUACGCUUGAAUACAUUAGCAUGGAAUAAUAGAAUAGGACUUUGGUUCUAUUUUGUUGGUUUCUAGGACCGAAGUAAUGAUUAAUAGGGACAGUUGGGGGCAUUAGUAUUUAAUUGUCAGAGGUGAAAUUCUUGGAUUAAUUGAAGACUAACUACUG